AAAAUGUAUAAAAGGGGGUGACUUUGUUAGGUAAUGUACAGACGUCCUCUGGAAGACAAAACCGCCGUCCAGGAUGAAGCUCCAAGUUCUUGUUGCUGUUAUUGUAGCGGUAGCACUUGCCGAGGCGAGAGCACCAAUAAGGUAUGCCCAGCGCGGUACCAGGGUUGCUGGUG